CUCCAACCAUAUUUUCCAACCAUCUGUUCCAACCGACGAAGCCGGACUGCACCAGUGAAGGACCUUUAACUGUGAAAGAAACAUGUCCCAGGCAUCAACUCGAAAUUCAUCAUAAAAAAAAGAUAAAUGGGGAGGAAAUAUAAAAUCCAUAAUUUCAUUAUAACUAUCUAUAAUUGAAAGAAAUGUUUUCAUCUUUGAACCCAGAUUUUCAUCAGAGCAAUAAAAUCCCACUUAUUGGAUCCUGGCCAAGGGCUUGCAUGCUCAAAACGAGAUUGCAUGUAUUCUGCAAUAAGCUGUCCUGGCUUUUGUCUGGUAAAGUUCUACUUCUCGUAUUUGAACUAUUACAUAUAUUAUAUUUAUAUUGUGACAUAAGUUGGUAUUUAGCCACUAUCUAGAAUAACAAGGAACGAUUCAACCUGGUUUUUCGUGUCCACACUAGUUGACUUUUUCUUAUAGAUUUGCUGCUGUGAGUUUCAGCUCCUCCACCAGGGUGCGUUUUAGCUUCUCAGACAUGACUAUACUGUUAACCCUGUCCAUGAGAGGGAUAUAUGUGUUGAUAAUAUAAAUACUGUGGAUCCGAAUGAGAAUAUCGAAUAAGUAAAUAAAUAC
rnacentral:lncRNA from 1 species